rnacentral:lncRNA from 1 species
GCAAAAGUAACAACAACAACAAUAAUAAUAACAUAUGAAGUUCAAACCCUAAGAAAAGUAAAUUAUCAUGAAGCUACAACAACUAACUCUUCCUAUAGCAUAACAAAACGAGUUUUAAGAUAGAAAAUCAAAAGUAAAAUAUAUAGAGUUAAAACCUAGAUAUGUAAUUUUAUCAAACAGAUGGUCUACACGAAAACAUUAAGAAACAAACCAAAUAUUGAUACUGAUUAAGAUGCAGUGUCUAACAAAUAGGAAAGGUAGGAGAAGAAAAAAGGUAGCAGUAAGAGUAAGAGCAGUUACCUUGACUCAAGCAACGACGAUGAUGAUAGUUUCGGAUCUCUUUUACUUAUUGAUUUGUUUCCUUUUCAAGUCCCUUCUUUUCCUACAUAUUCCUUCGUUUCACAACUAAAUGAUUAAACAGAAUCGGCGAGAAGGCACUGAAGAAAGACAUUAUGCGUUCUUGCAGGCUUUGAUGUUUGUGGGCUUCAAUGGGGGUGGUUGAGUUGAGUGAGCCUAGGUUAAAAAUUUCUAUUAUUUUUAUUAACUAAGUAAUCCAAAAUAAUUAUACAAUCCUUCCUUAUUUAUUCCUCCUUCUCAAAAAAAAA